UCAGCCUAAAUAUCAUCUGUUUUGUCUCUUUCCCUUCAGCUCAAAUUAUUACUAUCAAAUAUCAUGAUCUUCCAUUCAAAUUCUUGUCUCAGUUUCUGCAUCUGCUGGAGGCAAACUAAAACGUUUGUUCCUAAAAAUUGCUGUAAGAACAUCGAUCAACUCAUGCAACACAAGAUGACGUACAAAACGAAUGGAUCGACACUGGAGGCAGAGGAAGUAAGGCGGACUUAUAGACCGGGACUUGGAACUCAAGGGAGAGGGAAAAUCACUUUUCUCCAAUGGAGUGACACUGGGUACAUCAACAGAUUUUUGAUGCCAUCUUGGACACUCAUCGUGUGUUAAACCUAGGAAUCCAUUAGGAUAGUCACUGCAUGGGAAUGCAUUAGAGCUCUGGAUUGCAGCAGCCUGGGCUGUGCUGAUCUAAACUGCACCCGUUCUCAGUUGGCAACCACUAGAGGCGCUCAACACCUGGCGCCUUCAGCUUCAUCUCUAAGAUGGAACUAAUGAGACAGCACUCCCCAGAAGGUUUUGGAUGACACCACAAGCAAAGGGAAUCCAUUUCUCCAAAAAGCAAAUUAACUCUUUCAGACCCCACAGAAAGUUUAUAAGCUUUCCCCACAUGGUGGAUUCCUAUGAACUCAGCAUUUUAAUGGGUCAUCUGUCUUUUUGUUCUUAGGACAAUAAAUCAACGAGAGAAAAGAAUGAGAGAAAAUCCA